rnacentral:SRP_RNA from 1 species
GCCGGGCAUGGUGGCACUCGCCUGUAAUCCCAGCUACUCAGGAGGCUGAGGCAGGAGAAUCGCUUGAGCCCAGGAGGCAGAGGUUGCAGUGAGCCAAGAUUGCGCCACUGCAUUCUAGCCUGGGCGACAGAGCAAGACUCUGUCUCAA